GUAACAUUUCAGCCCAUGGAGGACUGACCCCAAAAGACUGCCACUGUCAUUCAGGAUGCUUCCUGGAAACAGGGGCAGAAGCCAGAAGCUGACCUGGUGAGGAGUUCAGCUGCCCUGUGAGUGAUGGGGGAAGGGCAGGAUACUCAGUGCAACCAAGACAGCUCCUUGUGGGAAGCAGCCAUCAAGACUACAGAAAACAUGACCACAGAGGCACACACACAUAAUCCUAGCACUCAGGGGACAGAAGAAGGAAGAUCAAAGUCUGAGGCCAGCCAAGAGCUACAUAAUGAGACCUUGUCUGAAAAACAAACAAAUGAACAAAGCUAGGUGGUGGCACACUAGGUGGUGGCACAUUAGGUGGUGGCACAUGCUAUAAUCCCAGCAUGGGGAAGCAGAGGAAAGAAGAUCAAGACUUAAUGGUCGAAGUCAUCCUCACUGCAGAACAAGUGUGAGGC
rnacentral:lncRNA from 1 species